rnacentral:rRNA from 1 species
GGGCCCAGGAGAUUACUUGGGCCUAAAGCUCCGUAGCUGGCUGCGCAAGUCCUCUGUUAAAUCCAGCGACUCAAUCGUUGGCUUGCGGGGGAUACUGCCCGGCUAGGGGGCGAGAGAGGCGGACGGUAUUCCCGGGGUAGGGGUGAAAUCCUUUGAUCCCGGGAAGACCACCAGUGGCGAAGGCUGUCCGCUAGAACGCGCUCGACAGUGAGGGAUGAAAGCUGGGGGAGCGAACCGGAUUAGAUACCCGGGUAGUCCCAGCUGUAAACGAUGCAAGCUAGGUGAUUGGGCGGCCACUUGCCGCUCUAGUGCCGCAGGGAAGCUGUUAAGCCUGCCGCCUGGGGAGUACGGUCGCAAGGCUGAAACUUAAAGGAAUUGCGGGGNGGAGCACAAA